UCCACGGUAGCCCAGUGGUCAAGGUCUCUGACUCGUGGCUGGAAUGUCAUUAGCUCGAAUCUAGUACUGUGGAA